AGAAACAAAGGCUCAGAAGUCACAGCAUGGAGGUUCAUUUUAUUUUGUAAACUCAUUAAAAAGAUGUCCAUGUACAAAAUAAGGACAUUUCAAACAACAGAACUGCAGACAAAGGAAACUAUAAAAAUUCAACACAUUAAUAAAAAGGUUUUGUUUUCUUUCUGCACAAUUCCUUGCACCUCCCAUACCAGUCUGCACACACUCUGACAAUCAUUACAAUUCAAGAGCCAUUUGCUCUGCUGGAGGAAUGUGUUGCUGAAAGAUCCAAACCCUGGAGCACGUUAACUAAAAGUAAGACAAGCCUGGAGGACCUGGCUAAAGGCUGCUAAAUGGUUACUGUGCAUUGAUCUGCUCUGAAUUCCAGCUCACUUUGCUUCCUGCUGAUAUCUGGAAUAGGGGAGGAACAGUGUUAGACUGAGCAGGGCCUUGUCCAAAGGUGGGUGCUGUCCUAAUACAUCUAAUGCAGGCUCAGAAAUAAAAACAUUGCUGCAGUCAGACAAUUUCAACCCCAACAAGUGUUAAUUGUGCACCAAGGUCUGCAGCAGCUGCCUGACAAGCUGCUGGGAUUUAGGAUUCAGUCCUCAGCCUUGGAUACUCCUGACUGCAAGUCUGGAUUUGAAUCCUUGAUACGCUGUCAGUAAGAGGUCAAUUAUAAAAUUCUAUUGCUUUUUAAUGUGGCUAAUUCAUAAUUUAAUUUGUCCCUGUUUCUGCCCCCAAAAUGAGUCCCAGCACUGGAAAUCCAUGCACUGCUUGAGGCUCCUGUCAAAGGUUUUUUUCCGUGUCCUCAGGGCAGGCUGGAGCUGCCGGGUGUUCCUGUGGCUGCAGCGCUCAGGGUCAGAGCAUCCCCUGAUCCCGGCUCUCCCUGCCCAGGGUGCCAGCUGUGGGCUCAGUAAACAUCUCCCGUGGCCAGAGAGCAGCUCCAUCCCUGCAGAGAGCUCAGGCUGAGCUGUCCUGAGCCAGGACACAGCGCAGGAAACAGCCCCUGCCAUAAGGCACUUCCCCAUCCCUGCCUGGGCCGGGCUGCAGAGGGGCAGGAGAGCCCGGGCUGGGCUGGGCUGGGGCUGCAGAGUCCCUGGGGACAGGAGAGCCCAGGCUGGGGCUGCAGAGGGGCAGGAGAGCCCCUCCUGGUGCUGCAGAGUCCCAGGGAGGGCAGGAGAGCCCAGGCUGGGGCUGCAGAAGUCCCCCGGGGACAGGAGAGCCCCUCCUGGUGCUGCAGAGUCCCAGGGAGGGCAGGAGAGCCCAGGCUGGUCUGCAGAGUCCCUCUCCCAGUGCUCCAGAGUCCCAUGGAGUGCAGGAGAGCCCCUGACCAGGGCUAAAGAGUCCCCCUGCCCGGUGCUGCAGAUCCCAGGGAGGGCAGGAGAGCCCAGGAUGGGGCUGCAGAGUCCCCCAGGAUG